rnacentral:rRNA from 1 species
AUGCGUGAUCAGGUCGGCAUCGACCAGGACGGCUUCCCCCUCGACCAUGAGUUCUCGGACGACUAUGGGCUAGAGGAAGAGGAUGAGUGCGACGUCGAAGUGGAGUCUUUGUUCGAGGAUGAGCUCACCAACCAAACCGCCGGUCCUAAGCCGAAGCGCAAGAGCAAGCGCACGAAGGCGUACACAGCUGCUGAGGACAAGCUUCUUUGCGAGUGUUGGCGAGACAUUGGACAAGACCCAAAGACGAGCUCCGAGCAAAAGCAUUCAACCUUUUGGACUCGUGUGCACCACGAGUUUCAUGAGUGCAAGAAGUUUCCACCCUACCUGUGA